CUAGAAGGAACUGACCACUUUACCAGAGAGAAAGAGGGAAAUCAUCCAUCAAAGCUCAGAGCUCAGAGGAAGAAGAAGAGGAUUUCGGAGAUCGGCCGAGGGAGAAUGUCACAGGCGCUGUGGGAGAAGAGUCCAGCAUGGAGAUGGUUAGUAACGCAGACUAAGGUUUCAAAACCAUUCUUCUUCACCUUCGCAGCCGUAUGCGGUGUUAUACCUGGUGUCAUCGGAUUCUGUGUUAUGCAGUUGACUAACUCAUCUAACCCACAGCUCGAAGCUCAACUUCGUAAAAAUGCUUCGCCCGAUUCUCUGAUGAUGGGGAAAGUGAAUCAGGAGAGACUUGCAGAAUACCUUGGGGAGCUGCAGCGAAAGGAGAACACAAACGACCGGUACGUAGCUGCUUUAAAAGGAGAGACAUUGACAAGGAAUCCUUAUGUUAGGAUUCAACCCGUUCCAAAACCCUUGAGCAGCACCAGCACCAGCGUCAGCACUAAAGUUACUGAUCAGAAGGAGAAUAAGUAGUUGGAAGGUUGAGGUGAAGAUGUGAGUUGCUGUGUGGGUGACUGGAUGAAGCUGAAAGCAAUGUGGUAAUUGCAGAACUGGGUUUGUGUGAUGGUUUUUGUUACUUGCAAAGAAGAUGAUUCAAACUUUUUACUCACUUGCUGUGCUAUGGUUGACUGCUAAUUAAAGCUGCUGAAGUUACGCAGCAUCUGAUUUUAAGUAUUGUCAAGUAUACAGUAUGUUCUUGUCGACGAGUGAAACUACAGUUGUUUAUGUUCUUUUUAAUGGAGUAAUUUCUGAACUAUAAUUUGUGUUUGAAAAUUUUAGUGUCUCUGGAGGAACUUUUCUUGAUAUAUACACCACAUUUCUUGUAAAAUCUGAGUCUGGGUUUUGACAAUUCCCUGUCAUUUUAUUUUGGAAAAUUUCUUGUUUGGUCCUA